AUUGAACGCUGGCGGCAUGGCUAAAACAUGCAAGUCGAACGAGAACCUCGCAAGAGGGGACAGUGGCGGAAGGGUCAGUAAUGGGAUCGAACGUACCCAGAGGUGGAGGAUAGCGUUGGGAAACUGACGGUAAUACUCCAUGUCCUCUACGGAGAAAAGAUUUAUCGCCUUUGGAGCGGCGAUCCUCCUAUCAGGUAGUUGGCGGGGUAAAAGCCCACCAAGCCUAAGACGGGUAGCGGGUGUGAGAGCACGGCCCGCGACAUCGAGACUGAGACACUGCUCGGACUCCUACGGGAGGCUGCAGUAACGAAUAUUCCGCAAUGCGCGAAAGCGUGACGGAGCAAUGCCGCGUGCAGGAUGAAGCGGUUUCGCCGUGUAAACUGCUGUCAGGGGUCAGAAAUACUGAUCUGCCCCAAAGGAAGAGCCGGCUAACCCUGUG
rnacentral:rRNA from 1 species